rnacentral:rRNA from 1 species
UACAUGUGGGGCAAGCGUUGUUCGGAAUUACUGGGCAUAAAGGGUGCGUAGGUGGCUUGUUAAGUCAGGGGUGAAAGUUUUCGGCCCAACCGGAAAAUGGCCUUUGAUACUGGCGAGCUCGAGUGCGUGAGGGGUAACCGGAACGAGCAGUGUAGCGGUGAAAUGCGUAGAUAUUGCUCGGAAGGCCAACGGCGAAGGCAGGUUACUGGCGCGCAACUGACACUGAGGCACGAAAGCGUGGGGAGCAAACAGG